CCUACGGGUGGCUGCAGUGGGGGAUAUUGCACAAUGGGGGAAACCCUGAUGCAGCGACGCCGCGUGUGGGAAGACGGUCUUCUGGAUUGUAAACCACUGUCCCCAGGGACGAAAAUGAUGGUACCUGGGGAGGAAGCUCCGGCAAACUACGUGCCAGCAGCCGCGGUAAUACGUAGGGAGCAAGCGUUGUCCGGAAUUACUGGGUGUAAAGGGAGCGUAGGCGGGGAUGCAAGUUGGGUGUCAAAACUACCGGCUCAACCGAUAGUCGCACUCAAAACUGCAACUCUUGAGUGAAGUAGAGGCAGGCGGAAUUCCUGGUGUAGCGGUGAAAUGCGUAGAUAUUAGGAGGAACACCAGUGGCGAAGGCGGCCUGCUGGGCUUUUACUGACGCUGAGGCUCGAAAGUGUGGGGAGCAAACAGGAUUAGAUACCCUUGUAGUC
rnacentral:rRNA from 1 species